GGGGAAAACAGGCCUACAGUAUAAAACAGGCUUACAGUAUAACAUAUGUAUUAUACCUACUGUUAACAUGGGGGGAAACAGGCCUACAGUAUAAAACAGGCAUACAGUAUAAAACAGGCCUGCAGUAUUAAACAGGCCUACAGUAUAAAACAGGCCUACAGUAUAACAUAUGUAUUCAGAACUACUGUUAUUAUGGGCGGAAAACAGGCCUACAGUAGAAAACAGGCCUACAGGCUAACAUUACAACUACUGUUAAUAUGGGGGGAAACAGGCCUACGGUAUAAAAACAGGUGUACAGUAUAAAGUAGAACUACCGUAUAACAUACAGUUUAAAUAGGACCAGAACUACUAUUCAACAUGGGUGAAAAACAGGCCUACAGUACAUAAUAUGGAACAGACCUACUAGAAAAACAGGCCUACGGUAUAAAGUACAGUAGUAAAUAUAAAACAGAACUGCUGUUUAACAUGCCAAAACAUGGGGGGAAAACAGGCCUACAGUGUAAAGGAGAACUACUGUUAACAUGGGGUGGGGAAAGGCCUACACUAUUAAGUACAGUUUAAAUAUAAAACAGAACUACCAUUUGACACAGGGGGAAAACAGGCCUACAGAAUAAACAACAGUUCAAAUAUAAAAUAGACCUACUGUUUAAGAAGGGGAGAAAAACAGGCCUACAGUAUAAAGUACAGUUUAAAUACGGUGUACACAACCGUAUGCACACAUAGACUGUGUACAGUAUGGUGGAUAAUAUGUUAUUAAAUGUGGUUCAAAAUAGGCCUACGAUGUAAAGUACGGUAUAAAAUAAGGAUUCAUCUACUGUAAAAAAUACAGAGUACGUACGGCUUUCACGAAAAGAGGACACCUUUAUUUUUUAACCCUGCAUCGCGUGCGUUUGUGUUAAGAAAACUUUCUUCAUAACACGAUGAUCCACGUUGAAACAUACAAAGUCAAAAGCAAUGUGAGGGUGUUCAUGUCUCAGGUUUGAUUGGUUUUCAUGUCUUUAUGUUCCUGUAUUUGAUCCAGAUGUGUACAUGUAUUAUUAGAUUGUAAUGUUAUCGGAUUAGGAAUGAACUGGCUCCUGGAUUAAACCCAACCUUGUCUAAUCAUCUUUACCAAAUGUACGCAUGUACUAGUUGUGAACUGUAGCCUACAGACUGCUAUGUAACAUACACAGUGUUGUAGUGGAAGAUGUAAAAUGUUCAUUUCUGUUACAGGAGGAACUGCAUCAUUUCUGCAUACUUUCAACAGAGGGAGAUUCACAGGCCAACUCCGUCUAAUGUAGGUUCAGCCCAGACCCCGAACCACACACUCAACUCCCCCACUAAGACCGAGCCUGAUGGACGUGUUUAAUGAAAUGUUCUCCUUUCCUUUGCAGAACGGGGGCUUUCACAAGAAGCCCAUGUAGGUCCCCACUAUAUUUUCUUCAUGUGUGUGAUAUGUGAAAAAGGACGAUGGAAGAACGAUUUAUUUCUCCCGCUGUCCGAGUGAAGCUCUGUUUGUCCGUAAGAGAUUCAUUGUAACAGCGUGCUGUCGGAUAUGUUUUAUAAUAACACAUAAGAACCUUUUUUACUUGUUCGAAAACAGUGACUCAGUGACUCAGUGACAACUCUCUGCCUCAUAUUAUAGACAAACUACCAAGACGAUGGAUGAUAUAUUGUAAAGUUUUAAUGUUGUACCUUUUUUCUUGGUAUGUCAUAUGAUAAAGUUGAGAGUUUUCUGUGUAAAAUAGUAUUGAAUUUAAAGGUAAAUCUAAGAUGAUGAAUUGUUUAUUUUUCAAACUAACUACAAAGUAGCUUGCCAGCUAAUAUAGUCUUUAAAGUGAAUGCUAAUAAUGGGUUUUUUAUGAUAAUUAUAAUUAUGGGCAACUAUAAAUGUGGAAACUGUUCUGUUUUUCCCAUUGGAUUGAAAGCUGACUGUAAGAAAAGAUUUAUUUUUAAAGCCUUACUUUAAAAUGUUCAAACUUCUGUGUCAUUUUUACGAACAUAACGAUAGAAGAUAAACUUUUAUUUGAAUGUUAAAAAGGUAUAUUCAGUGAAUAUAU
ensembl:lncRNA